rnacentral:lncRNA from 12 species
CUUUAUUUCACUUACACUGAACUUCUAGAGUCCCCGAUGUGCCCCUUCCCUCCCCCGUGAGCCCCCGAGCACCGGCCACCGGAGGGGCGGCUAUGACAGUGGUGGGCAGGGCAGCGCUGGAGGGCCGCGGGCGGACGAUCCGAGCAGGCGCACGAGGAGGCCAACACCUGUGUCAUCCUCACGGACUCGCAAGGCUUCUCGGGGCCGAAUUACAGUUACUAUGGCUGUUUUCCCUCUCCCCGACCCUCCGACCCUCCGGGGCCUGUCUCGAGGAGGGGAAGCAAACCCUGCACUGAAGCGAAUAUAAUUGAGUCACGCUUUUGAAAAAAAAAAAAAAUAUCCUCUCGCUGCUUGGGUAUUUGGGGACGAGGCUCGUUCUUAACCAGGAUGAGAGGCUGAGCCCAGCAGCGGCAGUAACGAUCCGUUUAUCGGAUCCGUUCGAAUAUACUAAUAUUUGUCGGUCCUUUCCGGUGCGCCUGGCAUAUUGGGUCUGUCGUGACGAGGAGGGAGCUUCUGCCGUUGGCUAAGGCUGGAAAACCCAUCAGCGGUUAGGAAACCGUGUGAAGGGUCAGGGAGAGGGGGGCCAGCUCGGACUUGGAAGAGCGGGGAAAACCGGACCGACGGGGUGACGCCUAAUGAAAUUGAGAGCGAGUUCCCCAACAAGGAAGCGCGGCGGACUGCUGGCACAGGGCUGCGGCUGGAGACUGUCGCAGGGCAAGGUGGAAUGAAGGAAGCCCGACACACCGCGUCUGGACCCACGCGUGAAGCUCAGGAGCAGGCAAGCGUAAUCUACGAAGCUGGAAGUCAGGGUUGCACUUGGUGGGCCUGGGGUUCAGGGGCUACAUCUGGGGGGAGCUGCGGAGAGGCACCAAGGAGCUCGGGAGUGUUGGAAUGUUCUCCACCGAGGUGAGGGUUGCCCAGGUGCACACGUGGCCGUGACGGGGGCUCUGCUCGCUCCACCAUCCACAUGAUCUAUCCAAGAAACAAAAACAAAAACAAAUCUGUGUGAGAAGCGUCUGCGUCUCGUCCUAUCUUCUAGGAUUCAGAACGGAUAAGAGUCGGUACGUAUGGAAAUGAACCAAAAAAACAACAAAAAAAAGUGGUGAGAUGAUCCCCGAGAGAAGGGUAAAUAGACCCCACGGGCGGAGAAUGCGUUAAUGGUAACUUACGGGUAGAACGGGUGGUCCUGGCUGGUUAUGAGCGCACAAGUCAGGCCUGAGUGUUCUUUCAGCAAUAAAUCGUUUAGAUUCUCUGAAUGGGUAGUUUUU